rnacentral:rRNA from 1 species
GAUGAACGCUGGCGGCGUGCCUAAUACAUGCAAGUCGAGCGAACAGAUAAGGAGCUUGCACCUUGGACGUGAGCGGCGGACGGGUGAGUAACACGUGGGUAACCUACCUAUAAGAGGGGGAUAACUACGGGAAACGGGAGCUAAUACCGGAUAACAGUUGGAACUGCAUGGUUCUAAAGUGAAAGAUGGAUUUGCUAUCACAUAUAGUGGGACCCGCGCCGAUUUAGCUAGUUGGUAGGGUAAGGGCUUACCAAGGCAACGAUCCUUAGCCGCCCUGAGAGGUGGUUCGGCCACCCUGGAACUGGGCCCCGGUCCAGACUCCUCCGGGAGCCAGCAGUAGGGAAUCUUGCGCAUUGGGCGAAGGCCUGACGGAGCACCGCCCCGUGAGUGAUGAGGGGUUUCGGUCCGUAAGCUUCUGUUAUUAGGGAAGAACAGUCGUGUAGUUAACUGUGCACGUCUUGACGGUACCUUAUCAGAAAGCCACGGCUAACUACGUG